CCCGAGCAUAAUCAGUCAACACAAACUUGCUACCGAUUUCCUCAAUGCGUGCCUCGAUGGCAUCUAUUAAUGGUAAAAAGACCUAGGGGAACAACCAAUGGCAACUCUCAAUAUCAAUAUCCACGUUUACCUCGAGUUUUUAGGCCUCUUUUUCGUAAUGCUGAAGCCACUGACCUGAGGCUGCUCAUCAGUUGACUGUAGCUCAUCGAUUUACCUGUUGAAACAUCUGUCUGAAAGUUAGCAAAAUAACGUUAAUUUGCAUUUCCAUGCCCAAUGGAAGAUGCGGGUGCUGGAGGUUGGGGUCGCUAGGUGUUCCCUCACCGACGAGUUCCCUGUUGAUAAUUGUCAUUUUCAAUAAAGUAACAACAAAACGACUGACUACAAAAGAUGUUGUCUAGGAACUGCAACAGUUUUCCCAAAAGUAGCAAGAAAAAAGACGCACGUUCUACGUUUCCUUUCUUAUAGAGCUGGGACCAUCAGUGCCUGAUAAAGACUUUCGAAACGUGUCAGUCCUAGAAAAACAAAUAAUCUAAGCAAUUCGUUGGCCUUUCCUUCCCUGAAGAACAACGUUAGAAAACAUCUUUUAAGCACGUGGUGCUAUCUAAUCAAACAAAAUUCAUCAUCCAAAUUAAACCCCGAAAUGUCUGCCGUAUGGCAUGUGCUAGAUUCCGUGUUUUGAACCUAGAUGGCGAAGUAUGACGCUUUUCGGAAGAUGUAAGCGAAAAGGAGAAUGAAAGAAUAGACUCAAAAAUAAUGAAUUGAUUACUACAAUCAGUGCCGUUAAGGCGAAACAAUCGUCAUCUCU